rnacentral:rRNA from 1 species
GUGUUUCGGGGGUACACGAGCGGCGAACGGGUGAGUAACACGUGGGUGACCUGGUGCCCUCCACUCUGGGAUAAGCCCGGGAAACUGGGUCUAAUACCGGAUAGGAGUGCCACUGAUCGCAUGGUUGGUGGUGGAAAGUUUUUUCGGUGGGGGAUGGGCGUGCCGCGGCCUAUCAGCUUGUUGGUGGGGUGAUGGCCUACCAAGGCGGUGACGUGGGGUAGCCGGCCUGAGAGGGCGACCGGCCACACUGGGACUGAGACACGGCGUGCCAGACUCCUACGGGAGGCAGCAGUGGGGAAUAUUGCGCAAUGGGCGGAAGUGGCCUGACGCAGCGACGCCGCGUGGGGGAUGACGGCCUUCGGGUUGUAAACGUGCUCUUUCGCCAGGGACGAAGAGCAAUUGACGGUACCUGGAGAAGAAGCACGUGCGGCCAACUACGUGCCAGCAGCCGCGGUAACACGUAGGGUGCGAGCGUUGGUGUCCGGAAUUAUUGGGCGUAAAGAGCUCGUAGGCGGUGUGUCGCGUCGGCCGUGGUGAAAACUUGGGGCUUAACUCUGAGCGUGCGGUCGAUACGGGCAUCACUGUGUGAGUUCGGCAGGGGAGACUGGAAUUCCUGGUGUAGCGGUGAAAUGCGCAGUGGAUAUCAGGAGGAACACCGGUGGCGAAGGCGGGUCUCUGGGCCGAUACUGGUGACGCUGAGGAGCGAAAGCGUGGGGAGCGAACAGGAUUAGAUACCCUGGUAGUGGUCCACGCCGUAAACGUUGGGCGCUAGGUGGUG